rnacentral:rRNA from 1 species
AACGAACGCUGGCGGCAGGCUUAACACAUGCAAGUCGAGCGCCCCGCAAGGGGAGCGGCAGACGGGUGAGUAACGCGUGGGAAUCUACCCAUCUCUACGGAAUAACGCAUGGAAACGUGUGCUAAUACCGUAUACGUCCUUCGGGAGAAAGAUUUAUCGGAGAUGGAUGAGCCCGCGUUGGAUUAGCUAGCUGGUGGGGUAAAGGCCUACCAAGGCGACGAUCCAUAGCUGGUCUGAGAGGAUGAUCAGCCACACUGGGACUGAGACACGGCCCAGACUCCGACGGGAGGCAGCAGUGGGGAAUAUUGGACAAUGGGCGCAAGCCUGAUCCAGCCAUGCCGCGUGAGUGAUGAAGGCCCUAGGGUUGUAAAGCUCUUUCACCGGUGAAGAUAAUGACGGUAACCGGAGAAGAAGCCCCGGCUAACUUCGUGCCAGCCGCCGCCGUAAAAC